rnacentral:lncRNA from 1 species
UCGUUCAAGAUUCACUGUCAAAGUGUGUCCAGCUCAAGGUGUGUGAAUAAGUUGGUUCUAAUCAGAUUUGGGACAGAUGGAACAAUCUUAUUAAUUCGUGUAGUCUACGUGUCCAAAACAAUCGACGACAUUCGUCUAGUGUAAAAAAAAAACAAAAUAAAAUGCCUUUAUUUGGGCAAUUCUUCGAGAGGCAAGGUGUAUAAUAAUAUAGAACACGAUUCAUUUCUUCCUUCCGUUCCACAAAUGCGACGGAUACGGGAAGAGAAUCAAGGUUUCGCAUGCAAUCUGCACCAAGACACAAAAAAAAACAGCACACGAGGAAAUAACAACGCCCAUACUAAAUGCUAUACCCACCUAAUGGAAGAAGGGCCUUCGAUAUUCUUCUUCUUUUUUUCUUUUGGCCGACGACUUCCCGCGUGAUGUUUCAAGGCGAUGGUGAAAGUGCACGCUAUGUACUCGUGCUGUGUAUAUACUAUGCGAUAGUAGCCUACACACAUGCCAUUUGAAGCCGAAAUAAUGUGCAUAUAACUCGUAUAUAUACAGUUGAAUUCUUCUUUGCAGUCUGCAUGCAUAUGUACAACCGCAACUUACAUCACAUUUUGGUGUGUAAGCGGAUAAGACAUCGAUAUGGCGCCGACGUCUUUGAAUAAUUCAGCUUCCGUAAUUUCAAACAGUUGAAAACGAUUCGUGGAGAACAUCAGCACACACACAACAAAAAAACAAAGCAAAGGUGGUGGGCCUUGGCGGUAUAGUUAUACGAUAAUUAUAUAUAUAUAUACGUGCUGUGUACAGUGUAUAGUAUAGUACAUAUUAUAGUGAGUUGCGUAUAUAACCUUGGAGAAAAAGGGUUGGUGUGAGCGCGCGUUACCGGAACAGAACGUGAACCGCAUUCCGAUUGAUGAGUCGUUUCUCCGUUUAGAUUAGCUGACGUUUCUCAUCCCCUUCUUCUUCUGUCGUCGGGCAAUAAGUGCCUGUGAUGCCGUGAAAAACUGUCGGGCUACCAAAGUUGGUCACGGCAGCAAUAGCGACAUUUUGCGCUCGUCGUCGUUUCGCCCGAAAUUCCGAAUAUAGAGAAAACACGCACUUGAUUGUUGUCUCUCUCUCUCUCCCUCUGCCGCCGCUGGUUCUUAUUUUUUGUGUGUGCUGUUUGUUUUGGCCGCGCGCUUUGAUGUGAUUUCCCAUGAAGCCUAUUAAUCACAUCAGUUGAAAAAACACAUAUGGAGAGCUGUUCUCUCUGAUGCCAUUGCUGCCCAUUGUCAAGCACGUUCUUCUCUUGUUUUGUUUUAUACGUAUGACACGCACAUGUUGAAGCAACACACUUUUCUGAUGCACAACAACAACAACGACCAGCUGUUUCAACUGGAAUUGCCAAUGAGUUGGAAUAUCGAAAAACAAAAUUUGCUUAUUUUAUUUGCAUUUUGCUGAUUUUUUUUUAAUGCUGCACCAAUAUAUGUAUUAUACGUGCAGUGUGUGGCAUUUUUAUCUGACGUUCCAAAAGAGAAACAACGUGAGUUUUGCGCAUCAUUGGGCAGCGUACAGCGUGCCAGGGAGGGGAUUGAUAUUUUUAUCGCGACGAAGGUCAUUUUCAAUUAUGAUGUAUUUUUGUAGGACAUUGUGUCAUUGUUUGAACAUUUUUUUUUUGGAGAGAUCAAUUUUCGUGUGAACUGACAAUGUUGUCACAGCCAUUCUACGUUUUUAAUUGAUUCGUUAUACAUAUUAUAGUCAAUAACAAAUUGCGUAUUUUUUUUCGUGCAUUUCGUGUGUGCCCAUCUCCGUAUCGAAUAUUUAUAUAUGGGCUAGACCCUUCUUUAAUUCAAUGCGUGCCGGACGGAUGUGAUGAUAUCCGGUGUCUCAGCCGAGCCGAUUUUUUUUUUUUUAAUAAGGGGGAAAAUGUUUCAGAAUUUCACGUAUAGAUCGAUCAAGUCAAAAAAAAAAAAAAGAAUAAUUAUUUGUUUUUGUUUAUUUUCCUUAUUUCAAAGUCCAAAUUAUUUUCUGUUGCUGGUAAACAACCCGAACAGAAUUCAGCAGCAAAAAGAGGUAAAACUCGAUUUUCCAUAUUUUUGGAUUGCAAAAAUUGUAUUUGCCAAACGGACACGUUCUUGGCGUCAGUAAUAAUGGCUCUUCUAAAAUGCUUCGUCACACGUUGGCGGAUGCCUUUAUGAUCGGUGAACACAGCAGAGAGAUGGAGAAGAAAGAAAAAAAACAAACAACCUGUUGUUGCAUCCAUCAGCUUACAGCACUUAUUGCGCUUUCAUGGAUGAAAGGGAAAACAAAUGGGAAAACGAGAAAAUGAUUUGAAACAAAAGAUGGGUAGCAACAACUUGUUGUGCGUCUUGUUUUAUUCAAAAGUCUCACUUGCCGUGUUUCUUGCGCUCUCGAGUCCACCUAUUGUUUUUGAUUACGAAUACAAUGGGCCUUGUCUUCUCGACAAAAAUCUCACCCAUCUCGUCGAAUGAUUGCGCUGAAUUUUUAUUUACAUUCCAAUGAUUUUCAAGUCCAAAGUCCUUUAGGAUUUCGUUGUUUUUUUCGAAAAAUAUCGUCGGUAAGAGAAGAAAAAAAAAUCAGUUGGACAUAUUUCCGGUUUAUUCUAAUUUGGAUUGUCACCGUCCCCUUGUCCAAAUAAGGGGAAAACGAAACCAACUCACGCACCACCAGUCAGGCAUGAAUCAAACCCGUGUCUACAUUGUGUAAAUAUCGUAUACCUUCAAGGAGAUGUACACACAAUACACUCUUUCGUACCCUUGAUUUUCUUAUUUUGGUUCGAAGGGAUUAGGUUACACGUUCAGCAGACAAUCAUAAUUAAAAUUGAAUGGGAUUGCGUGAAUGAUUCGACAUGUCGCCACGCAUUUCGAAUUCAACUCUUCCCGCCUUACGGUCGAACGGUGUUAGGUUUGUACAGGAUUCCCUAUAUAGAUUGACUUUUUUUUUUUGGAUACAUAAACUCAUUCGAAAAAGAAAAGAAAAUGAGGGAAAGUUGGGGGACUAUAUUUCGCCCACGCCGACCUUGAUAUCAUCGAGGCGAGUCAAUAAUCCAACAGAGGCCGUGUCUUAAUACUCUUGUGUUGUAUAGCCGAACAAACAGCACGAAACAUCUCAUUUCACGCUAGCUGAUCGUUAACCUAGAUGUUAUAUCAAACUUUGUUUUUACACAGUUUUUCUCUCUCUAUGCGUGUAUAUAGUAUAGACUACAGUUGUAACUGUUUUUAGACUGUUAUAUAGAAAGAGAGAGACCUGGGCAACGAUAACAAAUUGGGACUAUAUAUACUGGACUCUGAUGUUUCCCUUUCCGGUCUUUAGCCUGUUUGACGUAUAUGAUUGUCACGAACCUGGCGUGUAUACAGAGACACACAUAUAGGCCUAAAAACAUAAAUGUCAUGGCCACGACCGUGACCUGAUUGCGGACAGUUGGGACGCUGCACUGCUUGAUUCAAGACGUGCACGUUAUAAAAGAAUUCACUUAUAAAUAGGCCUCUCUUUUGUGUUUAUUUUCAGACGCUUCCCUCUUCUCCCACAUAAUAUACGUUUCCUGUCGUAAACAGAUUGAUCACUCCUCGUGGGAUCUUUGCAAUCUGCUGUAGCCACCGCCUUCGAAAUAAUUAAUUAUGUCAUAUUAGAAAAGAAGUGGCAAGUGAAAUAAACGUGCGUAUACACAAUUUGCGGCUGUGUGUAGAGCAUCUUGUGGUAAUGUUUCCCUGUUAGCAAUUUCUUUGUUUUUAAAAAGGCACCACCAUUCACCCCAGACGUAUCAAAUAUAAGAAAGAGAGGAACAAACAAAAAAAAUGAUACCCUGCCAUUUUAUUACUAUAUAUACGGGGUUUGUUCAAAGCACCCGGCGUUAUACCCAACGAAAUCACGAAGAAAUAAAAAGAAAAUGAUUUCCUUCUUUUUUUCUUUUUUUUUUUCCUUCCCUUAACAUCUUGUUCCCUUUGGUCCCAUUAUAUAAUGACCAAGUUUUUUUUUGUUUUUGUUUUUUUUAUCCCACCAAAUGUUGUGUUAGACUCUUUGGGGGGAGGCCUUGCUGCCUCUUUUUCUGGUGGGAGAGAUUUCUUUUCAGCCAAUGUUUUAUAAACAUAAUAUUUAUUGAUCAGCACCGCGUAGAGUGGUGAGCUCGACUCGUAUACCGAUGAAAUGACUUUUUAGCUGGCAGGGCGACCAAGGGCACACACGUUAAGGCUUCUCCACACAGCACACUCAAUCAAAACGUGUGUUUCUCUGAUAGUGUCAUCCGGCGUGCGUAAUAGGCAUUUGGGUUCGUGACACAUGGAUAAAAGAAUUGACAAAGUCGCUGAAAGUUGAAGGACUAUCUCUUCUCUUUUUGUGUUUUCUUUUAAAUUUGUUGAUUGAUUU